AGGAGGUGACAGCCUGCUUGGACGAACGUUGAGGAGGCGAUGAAGACGAGGAAUCCAGCGUCAGGGCUGGAAUGAGACGUCGACGCUGAAGGCCUGGCGGAAGAAGACAGGAAGUGAAAGAAACCAAAACUGAAAGAGCUCGGAGAUUCUGCUGUUGACCGCACGCAGAGGCAGCUUGGCUGUCAGGCUCCCUCCCCGACUGCGGCUCAGAGACUGGGUGGACCAGGAUCCAGGAGUGGGUCCCUGCUGCUGCUGCUGCUGCUGCUGCUGCUGCUGCACCGGACUCUGGACGGAACUCUGUGGCUGAAGAGACAUAAAAAUGAUGAGGGCCAGUGGAGACGCGGCCAAGAGAAGAGACGGAUGCUCUGACACUCCCGCAAACAUAUGAAGACUGACGCUCGAGCCGCACGAGCUCUGUUUCAGUAGACGGAAGGAACUGGACUCUGCUGCGUCCGAAUGAGACACUGGACACACCCGGACCAUCACUUUGACCUGCAGAUGAAACCAGAAGAUAAACACAACAAGAACAUGAAACAGCUGUGAAAACGUGAUUCAGAAA